rnacentral:rRNA from 1 species
UACGGAGGGGGCUAGCGUUAUUCGGAAUUACUGGGCGUAAAGCGCACGUAGGCGGAUCGUAAAGUCAGAGGUGAAAUCCCAGGGCUCAACCUUGGAACUGCCUUUGAAACUUCCGGUCUUGAGUUCGAGAGAGGUGAGUGGAAUUCCGAGUGUAGAGGUGAAAUUCGUAGAUAUUCGGAGGAACACCAGUGGCGAAGGCGGCUCACUGGCUCGAUACUGACGCUGAGGUGCGAAAGCGUGGGGAGCAAACAGG